AUGGAUGUUAAGACUGCUUUCCUAAAUGGAGAGUUGGAUAAGGAAAUUUAUAUGGAACAACCAGAUGGGUUUGUAAUAGAUGGUCAGGAAGGGAAAGUGUGCAAGUUGCUGAAGUCUUUGUAUGGACUCAAGCAAGCACCCAAACAGUGGCAUGAGAAGUUCGAAAGAACUUUAACAGCUGCAGGCUUUGUUGUGAACGAAGCUGACAAAUGUGUGUACUAUCGCCAUGGUGGGGGCGAGGGAGUUAUGCUUUGCUUGUACGUUGAUGACAUACUGAUUUUCGGAACAAAUCUGAAUGUUAUUAAGGAGGAUGUCAUUCUGAACAUCAAGUUGUUGAGAGAUGAUGAUGGUGGGAUUACAUUGCUUCAAUCUCACUAUGUGGAAAAGAUCUUGAGUCGCUUUGGCUAUAGUGACUGCAAGCCCUCUCCAACACCAUAUGAUGCUAGUGUGUUGCUUCAAAAGAAUCGAAGAAUUGCUAGAGACCAAUUGAAAUAUUCACAGAUUAUUGGCUCGCUUAUGUACUUAGCCAGUGCUACAAGACCUGACAUCUCUUUUGCUGUUAGCAAACUGAGUCGGUUUGUCUCAAAACUAGGAGAUGUGCAUUGGAAAGCUCUAGAGAGAGUUUUGCGUUAUUUGAAAGGCACUGCAAAUUAUGGAAUUCACUACACUGGGCAUCCAAAGAAGGCCACGAGCGGUUAUGUAUUCACUCAUGGAGGUGGCGCUGUUUCUUGGAAGUCUUGCAAGCAGACCAUCUUAACGAGGUCAACAAUGGAAGCAGAACUCACGGCACUAGAUACAGCUACGAUCGAAGCAGAUUGGCUUCGCCGGCUCUUGAAUGACUUGCCGGUUGUUGAGAAACUUGUACCGGGUGUCCUUAUGAACUGCGACAAUCAAACUGUGAUCACGAAAGUGAGCAGCUCAAAGGAUAACAUGAAGUCAUCAAGACAUGUUCAGAGAAGGUUAAAGUCUGUCAGGAAAAUGAAAAACUCCGGAGUUAUUGCGUUGGAUUAUAUCCAAACGUCUAAAAAUCUGGCAGAUCCUUUUACUAAGGGUCUAUCGCGUAAUGUGAUAGAUAAUGCAUCGAGGGAGAUGGUAUGA
rnacentral:rRNA from 1 species